rnacentral:tRNA from 1 species
GCUGCGGUAGCUCAGUGGUAGAGCACUCCCUUGGUAAGGGAGAGGUCGAGAGUUCAAUCCUCUCCCGCAGCACCA